rnacentral:lncRNA from 1 species
GCCCACCGGCUGGUCAACCCUAACGCUCGCAGACCCUGGUUUCCGAAGAGUGGAACGGUUAUACGGCACGACUUUAUUAUGUACUGAACCGAUAAUGAUAUCUUCUCGUGUACUUGCAUGUUUGCUAUUACGAAUAAAACUGGAUAUCUAGGCGUGAUAUGAAUGGUUUUAGAGCAUCUUCAACGCGGCGCGGUUCGACCGACGUUCAAAAAACUAAUUUACAAUGCGCAGUUAGCUUUUUUAUGAUGUUGACGAGCGCUGGCUCCAGCGAUCGCAACAUAUUUGGUGCGUGUGCGGCGCUUCAGCAGCCGCUGCAAAUAAUACUUAAAACUUAUCCAAAUGCAUAUAGUUCAUUGUUGUCGUAUAGAUAAAACAUAUAGAUAAUAUAUUACAUAUAGAUAAUAAAACAUAAAUAAUAUAUUACAUAUGGAUAAUAAAACUAGUUCAACACAUAGAUAAUAAAACUAUUUCAACACAUAGAUAAUAAAACUAGCAUAUAUAGAUAAAACUACUCCGAGUCGUCACCGUGGAUGCUGUCCGAGGUAGAUAGAAACGCGUCCUCCCAACGUUAAUCGUCGGAAGUGAGGAUGGACGACAAACCGCUUAGGACAGCCCCGCGGUGCGAUACAGCGAGUAACUUGCGCCGACGUCUGUCCCGCCGCUCCGCGCGACGCCUUGCCAUCCUCUCCGCCCAGUAGGCGUUCUCGGCGUCGACGUCCUCCGGGUGGCGCUCGCGUCACUCCGUCAUGGCUCGCUCGUCCUCCUCAGCGACGAGGAGCUGGCGCUGCUGCCGACGGUGCUCCUGACGGUCUUGCUCCGUGAUCAGAUGAGGGGGAGGGGCGAGGUCUUGCGCCUGCUCGCGUGUGUAGACGUCGUGGAAGUUCAUCUGCGCACGAGGCCUUCCUACUCGCCACGCCGCCGCGUCGUACGCAUGGGCGGCUUCGUGCGUGGUCUCGAACGUGCCGAGGCCGAGGGAGACGUCGCGAGACCGGAUCUCGGCGUAGUAGGUGCCGGAGGGGCGCUCGCGGACGCCGCGGUAGCCAGAGGAUGAACGGCGACGCGGCGGCAUGGUGGCAGAGGGAAUGGUGAGGGAGAGGUAGAGGAAGAGGGGAGAAGCUGCGAGGAAGAGGCGCGUGGCUGUGGGCAGCCGCGUGGCGGACGCGACAUUUUAUAGCGCGCUGAAAGCGGUGCGCCAAAUAUGGCGUGCAACCGCCCGCUUUCUCUCUCUCUUGCGCGCUUUUUUGCCGCGUCCGCUGGAGCGCGCGAUUUCAUCCCGCGCGUGUUAAAAGUCGUGUUUACCACACGCGUAUAUUUUGUUGAAGAUGCUCUUAGUACUUGCACUUUUUGUUUUGCCCUCAUGGCAUGUACUCCCUCCAUAGGCGUAGACAGGCCCAGGUUACCGGGCCAUGGCAACCUGUCCAUUCGUUGACUAUAGCAUCAAAGACCCUGUUUGUUUCAGAAGUUCCGGGAUUUUUUUUAGUCUCAACUUAAAAGUUUCUAAUCCUUACCCGUUUGUUUCCAGAGACUAAAUAGGGACUAGAGGUCAUUAAAUGACAUGUAAAAAGACCAUGUUACCCUUAGUAAUGUAGUAGUACUUAUUAAUUGGCAUGCUAAAAGUAAGAGCAAUGUUGGAAAAAGUGCCAAAAAGUCCCAAAAAGACCCUCCCAUCGGGACUUCUCGAAAUAGUCCCAAAUGCCCCCUUUUAGUCCCUAAAAGUCCCUCCUGUUUGUUUCACAUGAUACUUUUUGAGACUUUUUUUAGUCCCUACAUAAAAAAAUCCCUGGAAACAAACACCUCCAAAAUCACUAUUCUACACUGUUCUACCUGUACAGUAGCUGGGUCGUAUUUCCGACCUGGCUACGCCUUUGCUCCAUACAAAUUCUUCAGUAUCAGUGUUCUGCAACGGAUCCAUUGUUUCAGAAAAUGAUUUUGUAACUAACUCUUUGUUGCAAAACAAACAAACUAUAUUCCGUAGCGGCUCGGACCAGGGAGGAUAAUUAAAAUCUACAACAUAACUCAUGUUGCAAAAAAAUUCCUGAAAUAUGACUCAUGUUGGAAAAAAAUUAAUCACGUAAUACAAUCUAUGUUAAAAAAAAUCGCAUCAAAAAUUCUAUUGAAAAUGUUUCCGUAACAAGACUUUUGUUGCAAAAUAGACAAAGAAAUCUCGCUGAUGGAUUGUAUCAAAUCCAACAGCUCACGAGGCGACGGAUUUUUUAUAAAAAUCCACUGGCUGACGCAUAGCAGUCUUCAUAUAUAAAACGUUUUGUCAGUUCAAGCAAAAAUGUUUUAUAUUUUAGUGCAAAGAUAGUAAUAAUUUAGGGCACGCUCUGACAGCUUUCGGUGCCUCUCAACAGGCAAACCUACAUCUGUGGUUAGAAGACCUGCAUGACAGUGUACUUGUUCGACGGGCCAACGCUUCGGCUGAGUCAACGUGAGUAUGGAAUCGGAGCGUUCCAUUUAAAAAAAAACUAGGCAUAAAGGUUGUAGGGCGAUGCGUCACCCUGCCUGGAAAUGAAGAUGAGAGCAUCCUCAACAGACGCGCUACGAAGCUGCGCGCUAAAUUUUUUUUACAGCGUUAAAAUAGCGUUUUACUGCACCGGAUGACCGAACAUCUUCAAUAGACGCUCAAAGAUAUAACGCGCGUACCAUCUCCAGCAGACGCCCAAAAAUAUAACAUGCCCCGCCGCGACCUGCUCCUCCCCGCCCGCCAUGGUCGCGGCCUGCUCCUCCCCACCGCCGCGACCUGCUCCUCCCCGCCGCCGCGACCCGCCGUCGACCAGCUCGAGGAGCAGGGCGGCAUCGCCGGAGGCGGCCGCGGGAAGGAUGGAGUGGCAGCAGACGACGAAGGGUGAGGUGGUGCGGCUGAGGACGUCGGCCUCGGCGGCCGCGGCCGGGUCGCCGUAGUGCUGCACCUUGAGCGCGUAGAGCGCGCACGUCUCCCGGUGGCGCACCUUGUAGACAGUGCCGCCCUUCCCGCGGCCCAGGACGGCGAGCUUGUCGAAGUCGGCAAGGCGGAACUGGCUGGACAACGCCGACGGGGCCGAGGCCUUGGUGGCCGCCGGGUUGGUGCGCCGGGCGAGGACGGCGAGGUCCUGGGCGGCGGCGCAGGACGGGAUGGGCAGCGCGAGGAGUUUCAGCGCGCACGAAAAGUUCAGCGCGCAUGAGCUCGCGCACGAAAUAUACCGCGUCCGGUUCAGUUUUCCCCAGCGCGCUGAACAUUUUUUACGGCGUGCUCUAUUAUACAACGUCUGUUGGAGUGCAAUUUUUAACUCCACGCGCGCUAAACUUGUGAUUUUUUGGGCACGAUGUUAAUAUUGGGCGUCUGCUGAAGAUGGUCUCAAGCACUAUACCCGUUAAACGAAAAUUCUAAAUGUGGUGCUCAAUCUCACUGUAUGGUCACGGUAGUUAGGUCAUGCUUGACCAAAGUUAAAAAGAAAAGAUCCAUGAUUAGCUCUUGGAGGCAUAUUUCUAUAGAAGAAUCCACAUGGGCUAGAUAGCUCCAUACUAUCCUAGCCAAGAGGUUGACACCCUAUUCUUGCUUGACCAAAGUUGUUUCACGGGAACCAAGACAUGAGAUUAAAGGGAUGAGCAUUUUUUUUGGCAUAUUAAAGGGGUAAGGAAACGUUGCAUAAAUUACAAUAAACUUGUUAUCUUUUCGGCAAACCUUUCAACUACACGUGAAAUGGAAGAGUUAUUUUUUCACUAAAAAGGGAAAAAGGUUUCUUGUUGUUGUGCCGAAGCAAAGAAAAAUGUUGAUUUUUUCCCUAAAAGGAUCCAAUCUAUUAUAUAGAUUCAUAAGUAUGAAGUAUCUCAAGUUUCUCCCUAAUCUCCCGUAAUAAUAAAGCGCCGAUCGCUUCUGUCGCCCGUCGUGGCCAUUUUACAAAAAACACCCUGUCUUUUGAAGUAAUUAACCCGCAGUCCUUCUGCAAGUCAGGUUGAACCGUUUUUUAUGUUUUACGCAAAACCCCUUAUGUUUAAUCUGAAUUAACCCGCGGUCCCUUCGUCAUCUCCAGUGGAGGCAGAUCCAGCGGCGAUCGGGCAGUUUUUUGAUCUGCUAGCUCCCCGAGCUGAUCGGAUAGGAUGGCGGGGAAGGAGCAGGCCGACGCGGGCGGGAGCGGGGCCGGGGCCGGUGCCGGUGCCGGGCGGGAGCAGACCCCCGCCGCGAGUGCCGGUGCCCGCGGUUUCCACGCAACAGCCGAUUAAGAAGCUGGUCAGGCAGCUCGACUUCAACUACGGGAACCCCGCCAUGGCGGCCGCCGCUGCCGCCGUUUCCCGGAUAGUGCCGCCGAGGGCACUGCAGGUCGGGUACCCGCAGCCGCACCAGCUGAGGACAGCGUUGCCCAUGGGGGUGCCGCAUCAGCUGCAGCCGCGGGGGCUGCCCGUGAUGCGGCCAGUACAGCGCCCGCCGGUGGCCGUUCCCUUGUGAGUACCUCCCUUUUCAAGAUUUAUUACGCCUUGUGUCAAGUUUUGAAUUUUUUGCUUCCGAGUCAACUUAUAUACUUUUAUAUACGUCUUUCCCUUAAUAUUAUGCAUAUCAAGGAGCUGUCUCAUGAAUCAAUAUAAGAAAAAAAUUAAGUUGUCGGGUGCAUAAUUUCAGUGUUUAUACAAACGCAUGUUAAUAAUGUGCACGCAGCAUCUACACGAAAAUCUUCGUUAUAAUGACUAUCCACUCAACAUCUCCUUUUCUCAUUUCUCAUCAAAGAUUAAAAGUAUCGAACGGCCCACCCAGAUGUUGUGUGAGUGUAAUCGUAAGUGCACGCCAUCAAUAUGACGAGUCAAAAUAAAAAAUGUAUCAAAAUUAAAAUAAUAACUUAAAUAAAAUAAAAUGUUUACCCCGUUGCAACGCACGGGCAUUUUUGCUAGUAAUAAUAAAGCAAUUAGGAUUUCUAGUCGUCUGUCAUGGCAAUUUUUGCAAAAAGGCCCUUCUCUUUUCUAUUAAUAAACCCGCAAUCCUAUAGUAAGUAGAAAAACGUUUCGUGUCUGGUGGACACCCUGGCCGGCGACACCCUCCUCUGCAAGCGCUACAGUGCCGUGCCGGCCGCCGACACCGAGCCCGCCGCCCGCGCCAUCGAGGCCGAGGUCUUCGACACCGCCGUCGUCGGCGGUGGGGCCGCCGCAUCCGUCGACUUCGUCAAGUCCUGCUCUGCCGCCGUCAAUGUCGAGCCAUCGGAGGCGCCGCCGGCCGUCAAGGCCGAUCCUGAUUUCAAACCUCAAAAGAAGGAAGAUGGAUGAUUCUGAUAAAAACAGAUAAUACACAUGCGUGAAGGAGCACGGGCUGGGAGCGGCGGAUGCGACAGCUCCCGAUGGAGCGCGGAUAGGAGCACGAGGGGGGUGCCGGGCUCCUGGGGCUAUGUUGCGGAAUGUCAGAUCUAGGCAUAAGGACGAUGCAGGCCGAGAAUCCAUGAAAAAGGCAAUGGAGAAAGGGCGUGAGGUCGUGCACCGCCGGAUCUCCGCGCGAGGUAGCUACGGGCAAUGGGGAUGCAGCCUAAAGAGGCGGCACAUCCCGAGGGGACCUCCUGGUUAUCAGGGUCUGGAUGGAUAACUGUUUCUUUAUUUAAUUAUUUGGGAUAGAGUUUUUUAUUUUAUGCUUAAAACAGGUACUUCAUUUCUUGGAUACCGAAUCCAUACAUUUCUUGGAUACCGAAUCCAUACAUUUCUGGCGGCGGCCAAGGAUGGAUAACAUGUAUUCAAGUUCUAUACGUGCAUGCUACAGUACCUGCUUACAUAAUUUUGAAAAUGUCUGCAUGCUUUAAAAAAAUGGUCGUGUAAUUUAAAACGUGUUCGCGCUUUUUGAAAAAAAAGUUAUUUUUUUAAAAAGUGCACUUGCAUUUUAAAUGUUUGUAUUGUUUUCAAAAAAGAGUUUAUGUACUAAAAUAUUGUUUACAUUUUUUUAAAACAUCCUUUCUAAAAAUGUAUUCAUAUAAUUCUAAAAGUGUUUGCAUGUUAAAAAAUGUUUGUAAAUUUAAAAAGGUUAUGUGAUUCAAGAAAAUGUUCGUGUGUUUUAAAAAGCUGAAGAAAAUAAAUUAAAAGUGAGUUGGAUUAAAAGGGGCAGCGGAUGGAAUAGGAAUAGGUGCAUGGUGUACGACGGCCCUUAUAGUGUAUGGAUUAGUUUAGAAGUUUUAAAUGCUCCUUUGCUUUGGUGCAGUUCAGUGAUAAAUAUGUUGUGCGGUGGUCAAGAUUGAAGGGGGUUCUUUUUUCUCUUACCCACACAUGGGCUUCGAAUUCCUGACUGAUUUUUCUUGAAGAACCGCUAAUUGAAGUUGUCGAAUAACAUGUAUUAAUUUAUUUCUUGAUCCAUCUUGAUAAGAUUAAUCCUUAGUGUCUUUUCACAUAUGUUCUCUUGAUAUCAGAUGUGAUAUACAUAUAUAUAUACGUUUGUCUAUGGUAUUUGCUCGCAAUGUGAAACACCUGUAAUGAUUAGAAUCCGUUUAAUAAAAGAAGAUUUGAAUUCAUGCACGUAAAUUAAGAAUCUCGUCAUUCAAUAUAUAACGACCACCGUAAAUAUAUCACGGUCGGUGAGAAAUUUUCCAAUUACUCACAUUAAUAUACUAAUCUAGAUACCGUCAACAAUCUAGAUAUUGUCCCUCGUCCAAUUGUUUUGUUGGACUCAUACCAAGAUAUGUGCUAUAUGUGACGUGAAUCAGAUGUUGCUAACUCUGAUAUCAGCUUGAUGAGGUCAUUGGAAUGUCGUUCCUAAGUAAAAGUUUCCUGUUAUUUUUUUAAUCAUUUUGUUAACAGCAGCCUUACAAAUUUAGAGAAGCAACCUUACCAGAUAUAGCGUAUUAUAUAUUUUUUAUAUUCCCGUUGCAACGCAUGGGUAUCUUUAUUAGUAUAAUAUAAAUCACAUCAAGGCCCCUCCACAACCAAACGAUCAAAAGCGCCUCCAAACCAAGCCGUCAACGCACCACUAUCGCCACUCUUUACAGGAGCCAUUUUGACCAUGGUGAUGCUAGUGAGGAAGCGUGCGCAUGGCCUUAAGGACCCUUGAAGCGAUAUGUUAUGUUCAUUGAAAAAUAAAAAAAAAUGCACACCCGUUUGCUGCGCUAUAGUAAUUUUUAAGGGCUUUAUUUUUUUAUAUCAUGCUAAUUUUUUUCUUGGUGUGUCUCACACCAAAUCUCAUAGCCACGCACAUACGACGAGAAAUGCUAACCUCGCGGCCUCAAAGAGAUGGCAAGAAUCUAUGCUAGAGCUGUGUCGACUCCGUCUUCGGAGACAAACUCAAAGCGAAUCGGAGCCUAGCUAGGAGACUAUAUCAAAAAUGAAACGCUACCAUGUGAUCGAACACACCCUUGCGAGAGAAAAAAAUCAUAACCUAAACUAUAAAUUGGAGCCGAGGCACCUAGAUCACUUCCCCGCCACCAACCGCGUGAGCGACGGACAUAAGGAAGGUGGGUCGAUGGCCUCUCUAGCGAAGCUUGGAAGGGGUGAGUGCUCUAAUCAUCGUGGUCGUGGGGGAGAAAGAGAAACCCUAAGAAAAAUGUUGAGUAAGCUUAGACUGGCCACUAACUACGACUGCACUUUAGUCAUUGCCAUGGGUCCAACUCCAUGUGCCUUCUAUGGAUAACACUAGGUGCAAACAAUCCCUAGUCACCGACACAACAAUCCCUUCCCUUCACUCAUUGCUACCAUCGCCCGUACCGCGUACGCUGGAGAAGGCCGGGACUUUGAGGGUGUGAGUGUUGUUCACACAAAAUUUAGAGUGGCAAUCUAUGAGACAAUGUUGUUAUUAAUAGUAGAUGUCAAUGUAGAGAGGUUCUAGAGGGGGUGAAUAUAUGCUUCACUGGUGGAGAAAUGGCUAACCAUAACUCUUGUUUGUGGCGCGCCAUUUCUUACUGACGCCAGCACUAAUAUUUUUAAAUAGUGCCGACAUCGGUCAAAUUCGCACGUCGUAGCUAUUUGGUUAGUGCUGGGGUUGCCAAAUUAGGCCCGGCGUUGCACGUUAGACCCAUUAGGCCCACACCAGCACUAGUCGGUUUUAACUGCUCCAGAGUGACGCAGUAAAAAAACCUAUCGUCCUUUCGUCCUCUUCUCGAUCCCAACUCCACCCCGUCCUCAUUUGGAUCCCCGCCGCUGCGUUGCCCGAAGUCGCCUCCACCCCGCCGAACGCUGCUGUCGCCUCUGCCCGACGUUGCCGCUGACUCCGCCCAAAGCCGCCUCUGGCUCCACCCGAUGUCGUCGCCGCCUUCGCUCGGUGCCCCCGAUCGAGCACCUGUGCGUAAGUCUGGCACCCCCCCCUCUCUCAUUUUUCUUAGGCUUAGGGUUAGUUGCCCGAUGGUAGUAGGUAUAUUUCGUCCUUAGCAAAUUACUAAGCCUAAUUAGUAAAUAUGUUGCAAUUGUUGCAUUUAAACACCUCAAAGUAAUUGUCAUAUGGUAUAUUUCCUCGUUGUUUAGAAUGACUGAUGUUUAGUAUCAAUGUGUUGCAAUUGGUGCACGUAAAACACCUCAAAGUAAUUGUAAAUAUCUUUAAUUAGUGUCACCUCAACAACGAGAGAUAGGAGUGGAUGUGAGAGAUAGGAUUUUGGAGGGUAGCUAGGCUUCAAGUUUAGGGCCUCCUUUGGUUUGUAGGAAUAUUGUAGGAAUUUCAUAUAUGGGAUAGGAUUUUCAAAGGAAACAAUUCCUAUGAAGCCCUUUCGAUUAUAGGAAUGGAUUCCUAUUCCUAUAUAGGAUAGGAAUCAAUCCUUCACAUUUCAUAGAGAAAAAUCAUUAGCCUGGACUCAAUGGAAAAAUUCAUAUCAUAUGCAUCAAAUGACAUAACUUUCUCUAAAGGAAUUAAGAUGCAUGUCAUCUCACUUCCUAUGAUUUUCCUAUCCCUAUGGUAUUCCUAUCCUAUGAACCAAAGGAGGCUCACAUUAAAUAGGAUAUGACUAUAUAUUGAUCAUGUUUGUUUUAACUAAAUACACUUAUCAAUUUUGAAUAUAUGUUUGGUAGAACACUGAUAAUUAGUUUUUCAUAUGUGUUUGGUAGCACACUUAUAAUUAGUUUUUCAUAUGUGUUUGGUAGCACACUCAUAAUUCGGUUUUACUUAAUUUGUCUCAUGUUUAUGUGUUUGGUAGCAUAUAUGUUUGUAGAUACUUCUUAUUUUCAUGCAUAUUAAUUAAACACUCCUAAUGUGGCAUUUAUUCUUUAGCCAAACAGCAUGACGAACUCUAGUUUGUGGAUAUGCUCCUCUGACCAUUGGUUGGGUUAUGGCUCAGAUAAAGGCGACAUGAGCACCAACCAAGUAAUUACAGCUACAAAAAACAUGCACGAGCUAGAAUUGUAAACAUCCAUAUAUCUAACCAUUAAUUUAUUGUUGAUUUGAAACCCUUGCCAUGCAUACGUACCAACCGGUCCUCCUUCUCUAGCACCCGUUGUGCAGGAGACACGUGAGGUGGACGUGCUCAAUCAUGAGCUGAUCGUGUCACGUCAGUCUACCAUCAAGGCCAUGCAGGAGUUGAAUGACUCCCUCGAGAAGGAGAAGGACAAUAUUAUCGACGACCACACAAUUGUGUACCAUAAGAUUUUCAAUUUCGAACGUCAGGUGGACUCACUAAACCUCGAGAUAAGCAAGCUCAAGAAGUAAAUACAAGUUGUGAAGAAGGAGAAGACUCAAUUGAAGGCAGAGAAAGUUCAUUACCUCAUGGAGGGGCAGAUGAAUAUGAAUAAGUUCCGUGAGAUUAAGAUAGUCCUUAGAGUAAACUAGUUAGUGUCGAGAGGGGCAAAUAGAUACAUGUGAAGUUGCUACUUCUCUUUUGUGAAUUUGGUAUACUAUGUUUACUUUGUGAAGCUAGCCACUACUAUCUUUUGUGAAUUGCUGACAUGUUUAGAAGAUGAAGCUGGUAGGAUCUUUUGUGAAUUGCUGAAACAUUUAGUUUGUGAAGCUGGUAGUAUUUAUUUAUUAGCAAAUUAUGAUAGUGCCGGCAUGCAACUCCGUACAACGUCAUAGGUAUUCAAAAUACUGUUGGCGUCGUCUUCAAUGCCACCACUAUAUUCUAACAGUGGUGCCAUAUUGGUGGCAUCGGGUGUCCACACCAGCAGGUCCUUUUUUGACACGCCAUAGCUAGGCUUUUCUGCACUAGCAAUUCUUGUCAAACGGAUGAAUAAUAGAGUAAUAUUUAAGAAGUACUUGGGAAUACUACUAGAAUAAGUGAGAAAACAUAAAAACAUGCAUAGAAAAUUCUUUAAACAAUACUACAAAGCAUUUAAAGAGCCCGUCACAAAUACAGUAGAAUGCUAAGGAAGAGAACUAGGUGAACACAAACAAAGUCUUCACAUGAUAACAACGAGUAAAACUCUUACAUGAAUUUAAGCAGCGGAAUAAGUAGUCACAAUGUCUUCACAACAAUCACACAAAAAGAGGAAGGGGGGAUUUUUUUUUGAAACACAACAACUUGGAGUAACUAAAAGUAUCAAAUAAUAGAACCUGUGAGCUCAGCAAAGACAAGAUGAUUUUUUUACCCAAGUUGACACCAUUGGCAACAGUUGUACGCCUUGAUUCAAGAGGUUGAGCCACUAAUGUGAGGACACACUAGUCACCGCCUUGUUCUCCUUGAGCUAAACUCCUCGGAAGUCGCCCGGUUAUUUGGGUUAGAUCUUGCGGUCAUUUCCCGAUAGGUACAUACUUGGUCUUCAGUGAAUCCACAUGGUGGAUGUUCAGAACAACACCUAAUCGUCUAGAAGACACCAAGGCAUCAGUAGUAUUGAGUCUCAAUUUAGCUUCAUAUGAUUUUUCAUUGAUGCUCAAUCGUGUUUCACAUUUUUGGCUUGGGUGUUUCUGCUUAAUUUGGAUUGGUUCGAAAUCUUUGCGGGGAAGGAUUCUAUAUACAAACACGGCAAUAGUUUCUCUCGAGCAACCGCCUUCUAUGUUUAUGGGUAGGGGGCUCUUUAUAGUCUGACACAAUGCGCUAGGUACUAAGGUGACCGUUUGAGGGUACACGCCCACCAGCUUGUUGGUGACAGCUCGCACAAUGGUAACAUUUUGAACCGCUGGCUUAUGGUUCUUAAGAACAUAGGACAACAUCAAUGGAAAGUCUCUUAACUCCUUGAUGAGAAAUCUAACUCAGGUAUUGUUGGGGAUAUUACCGCACAAAUUAGACGUGAUUGCCUGGGUUAAAGAGCGGGAGAGCUUGAAGGGAGUCGCCCUAUGAAGAGAAGGGGCCAAAGGCCGGGUCAUCCAGAUCCUGCGCGGGCCAGGUCCAAUUGGGAUAAUGGACUUGGAGGAGACCCUCCCAGAAGAGACCAGAAGCCCAAGAACGAGCCUUCGAGGAAGACACCUGGACUGGGUGUUAGUGGGAUGUCGAGCCUAGAUGAGACCCCACAACGACUGGCAAGACCCUGAUUAUGUAAGUUUCCUAUAGGAGACAGAGGCCUCCGUGCUUGUAAGGCACGAAGGAUUUGAAGUAGGACUCAGAUGACGGGAAAGAACCAAAAUCUAUUGUUAACCAUGGACCUGGCCCAUUAUAUAAAGGGGGUCCUCGAUCGUCCGAAGGGACAAGUCAAGUUAGAAGCUCUCGAUACAUAGGCAGCGAAAGAGCACCCUUGUAAUCGAGAUCAACACAUCCAAUAAGCAAACUAGUAGGAGUAGGAUUUUACCUCAUCAGGGGGGCCGAACCUGGGUAAGCUCGCCUCUUUUGUUUCCGAUCAACCCCAUCCAAGGCUUCACCUCAUAGAUAUGGCCACACAGCUAUAUUCUCGUAUGAGGGUACUUGUUGUGUUAACCCCACGACAGUUGGCUCCCAUCUGGGCCUCCACACAAAGGGCAUCAUCUAGGAGAGGGAGCACUUCCAGGAAUCGAGAAGCUGCAAUUGGCCGGCUGAAGAAGAUUCGGGCACAACGUUCUACUUUGUAGACACCGCAGGCUUGGGUCCGGAGGCCGACUCCAUCAAGUCGAGUUGCCGGGUCCCCUUCGGCAAGUUCAACGUCUUCGCUGGCUUUAUCAUUUAGUCCGAGUAGGAGCCGCACCCCAUCGACGACUCCAGCUUGGUAUACGCCAUGCUUGUCCACUAGGACAUCGAGUUAUUGUCAGUGCUAACAAGUUCGACGACACCGAGUCUAUCCUCCUGCAUUUUGACGGAAAGUUUGGUGGAUACUCUAAUGAGGAGGGAUACCCGGUCUCGUAUGGGACGUCGUGUCACACAUCCUUCUACAUGGCUGGAGGACAACAAAACCAGCCUAAUAGUGGUCAGCAAUUAAUUGGUUUGACAACCAAUUAAUCGGUCUGACAAGUUGGUUAAUCGGUUUGUCAGACCAAAUAAUUGGUCUGGCAAGUUAACGUGAUUAAUAGGUGUUGUUCAAGUCGGUCAUCCUACGAGUAGCGGUUAACUAGCAAGUUAACUGGUUAAUCGGAUGAAUUCUUGAACAGUGAACUUAAUAAAUCAUAUGACCAUCCCUCAACGUGUAACAAAGAAUCACUCCAAAGUUCAUAUCUAGAGAAGAACAUAAGGUAAAAUUGUUGUAGGUAGUAGAACCAUCUCAAAGUUAUUCUUUCCGAUCAAUCUAUUGAGAUAUUCGUAUAAUUCUAACAAAUAACCUUAGAUAUUUUUUAAUUUUAUAUGUAAAAACAAACAAAAAAAAAGUAAUCUUACCUAAUAAUAAAACAAAUAGUAUUUCUGGUCGUCCGUCGUAGUUUUUGCCCCUAAAGUUGCUCUAAAUUACCCACUAUGCCAUCCACAAGUCAAAAAACGAUUCAGAUUUCUUUUCCUGUCAAAAUCGCCGUGCGGUUUCGUUCUUAUAUGGUUGGAUACAAUAGUGUUGCGAACGCAUGUGUACCAAAGUGGCGGAAGCCUUGCCGUCAUAUAGUGCAGACCCGGGUUCGAAUCUUGAUCCUAACAUAUUUUUUUAGUCCCCUUUUCUCUUUUCAUUGCAGCUAGCAUUCACAUCCUCCUCCCUGGUACGGGUUCAUGGUCCGGUCCAUAUUUUUAUGCCUUUCUUUUCUCAUUUCUAUUUUUGUUUUUCCUAUCUUUAAAUUAAUUCGUAAUUUCCUAAAAAUCCAAAUUUUAAAAGACGUGAGUUCUAAAAAAACUGUUCAUGAAAUCAUACAAUGUUUAUUAUUCAGAAAUUGAGGACUUUGUAAAAAAUCAUGAAUUUCAAAAAUAUUUACGAUAUCUAAUAAUGUUCAUUAUUUCAAAAAUGAAUNNNNNNNNNNNNNNNNNNNNNNNNNNNNNNNNNNNNNNNNNNNNNNNNNNNNNNNNNNNNNNNNNNNNNNNNNNNNNNNNNNNNNNNNNNNNNNNNNNNNNNNNNNNNNNNNNNNNNNNNNNNNNNNNNNNNNNNNNNNNNNNNNNNNNNNNNNNNNNNNNNNNNNNNNNNNNNNNNNNNNNNNNGGAUCAAACAAAUGUUCAGUAUUCAGAAAAUCCAAAUUUUAAAAGAUGCGAGUUCUAAAAAAACUGUUCAUGAAAUCAUACAAUGUUUAUUAUUCAGAAAUUCAGGACUUUGUAAAAAAUCAUGAAUUUAAAAAAUGUUUACGAUAUCUAAUAAUGUUUAUUAUUUCAAAAAUGAAUNNNNNNNNNNNNNNNNNNNNNNNNNNNNNNNNNNNNNNNNNNNNNNNNNNNNNNNNNNNNNNNNNNNNNNNNNNNNNNNNNNNNNNNNNNNNNNNNNNNNNNNNNNNNNNNNNNNNNNNNNNNNNNNNNNNNNNNNNNNNNNNNNNNNNNNNNNNNNNNNNNNNNNNNNNNNNNNNNNNNNNNNNNNNNNNNNNNNNNNNNNNNNNNNNNNNNNGGAUCAAACAAAUGUUCAAUAUUCAGAAAAUAUUCCAAAAUUUGGAAGAUUUUAGGAAAAAUGAAAAAGAAAUAAAUAAAAAGGUAAAUAGAAAAACUAAGAGAAAAUGUGAAACCGAAAAGAAAAGAUAAAAUCGUAAGAUAAUAAAAAUAAAAACCAGGCAAAAAGCGGUUCAUUUGCCGAAAGCGAUAGACACUAAACUGCUCAUAUGAGGUUUAUGUGCCAGUGACUUAAUAUUGGUUUUCAUAUUGUUUGAAAUUGUGCUAAUAAUGAUUAUUAUUUUCAUACUAUCAUGUGGUCUAUUUUAGUGGUUCUUCAUAAGAUUGAUCUAAAUAGCUCUAGAAUUUGAGCGGUUAAGUCUUUUAGGUUUAGGUUUUAAUUAGUUUUGAGAAGUGUUUAUAUGCUUAGGGAUUGGAAGUAGUUUGUGAUCGACGAGAUUAGUUGUUAAAGUUUUAAACAUUUCAUUAUGCUACACAAUAACAAGUGUGGCGUGCAGUGGCAGGCUUAUAACCUUGAGAUUUACCACAUCAAAUGCAUUGUGAUUACAUGUACACGCCGGACAUCAUUAAAGAGGGUGGAAUAAAUAAAUAAGUGUCAACAUGAUGAGUCACCGUGUGAAAGAAAAAAGAGGACGCUCAUACAUCAAGGUAUUGAACCAUACUUAUUUAGCUAGAACGUAAUAUUUUGUCUUCCAUUACAACGCACGGGCAUAUUUGGCUAGUAUUAGAUGAAGACAAUAUAUUUUUUUCCUCGAUCACAAGACGACCCAAGACUCGUCGCGACGCUGGGUCAUCCCGGGUCAACCAUUUACGGCCAAAGUGUCACCACUCACAAGCCUUGACUAACCGGAGAAACCUGAGCAACCACGUAUAUGUGCCCACCCAAAAAUAUACGAUUAUCUUCAACGAAUAAAAUGCGGAACCACUUGCAGCGGAAAAUUAAUGGGUCCAAUGUGAUCCCUUUUUCAUUCCCAUGGGGGCCGGUCGACAUCUAUAAAUACGGGCCUUCGGGGAGCAGCAGGAUGUACACAGCUCGAAACCUGUGAGCUACUCACAGCUCGAAACCUCUGAGCUACUCACAGCUCACAAGGCAGUAAGCCCGAGCGCCUGACGGACGAUGGCGUCCUUCGCUAGAGCUGCCCGUUUCAUGGUGCUCUUCCAGAUCGCGCUAUUCAUCGUUUCCGCCGUGUUCAUGAGCAGUUCCGUCUGCCACGGUGCCCGCGAGCUCAAAGGUCACUGCUUACAAACUGUUCGUUUCAUGUUUUUCCAUCAUCUUGAAACCAAUCAUGUUUGCUAAUGCUUGCGUUCUAAAUAACUCUCUGCAGCGUCAAUCGGUACCGGGACUCUGGACCCUAACCGUCCUGCUGUGUGCAUCCGCGGACCGUGCCCACAGCCUGGCGGACCCUACACCCGUCCGUGCGGAGUACGUAACUGCCCACCGGCUGGCCAACCCUAACGCCCGCUCCCGAACAAUGGAAGGAUUAUUAUCAAAAAAUAAAAAAGAACAAUGGAAGGAUUACACGGCCUUGAUGCAUAUGCCUCCCUCGACAAGUAAAAGCUACCGCCACGGCUUUAUUAUACUGAACCGAUAAUAAUAUGCCUACUCGUGUACUUGCAUGUUUUACUACUCUGAAUAAAAUUGGCUAUGUCUGGGCCGUGAGAUAUGAAUGGUUGUUCGGUUCACAAAUAAAGAUCUAUCAGAUUCGGUCUAGCGACAAGGCUCUUCUCGCUCUAUUGACUAUCAUUGUACCUUGCUAGGCAUGAAGGCUGCAGGCCUAUGAACGGGAACGUUUGCCUCCUGUGUGUAUCUACAUCUUAUAUGACACAAAUAACAAUUUAAUAAAUAGUUGGAAAAUUUUAAAAAUAUUUUUAAAAUAAACUGGACAUUUCAUUUUAUUUGCGAGAAAUGUUUCAUAAAAAGAAAAUUACCCAUUGACUUCUUUUCAAAAAUAUAAAAUUUUGGUCAAAUUAGUGUGAAUAGUCAUCUAUAGUAGCAAAUAAAUUUGGUAAACGCUUGUGGCUAGUGCGUUCGGCCGGCCACACGCGGCCCGCGCCCGAGCUGACUAGCAUGUAAUUUUUAUCCCGUUUAAAUUUGUUGCAACCAUCGUUCAUAUUUGCUAUAAACGUUUUUUAUUUGUUACAUAUGUUCACUAAAAAAGUUGCAUUCAUGGUUGAUUGCAACUCGAGUUCGUCGGAUUUUUGCUACAAUCGGUGUUUUGACCUUUGCUACAACCGUGUUAGUUUUUGCUAUAUUCGACAUAAUUUUUUGCUGCAACCGUUCAUUAAGAAAGUUGCAUACACGUAUACGUAGAUAUUUGCUACAACCGACGUUUGACUUUUGCUACCACGCACCAUCAACUUCGUUUUUUACUACGAUCAUGUAGGUAUUUUUUUUUGCUACAAUUUUUUUUGUUACAACAGUUGACGAAAAUUGCUGCACCGCGCCAAAAAUUGUUGCAUCGAAAAAAAAAUUGCUGCAUGAAGAUCUAACGGUGCGGCCCGCCUACAGCUGACGGAUUGGACGGUUCCAGUAUUUUACUCUCAUUGCACGAGGCAGUCUUGUAGACUGAAUCUGGAUUUCAAAGUCUUAACACAAUGGCAGUCACGUUGUCCAUAUUUAUUAGCUCUGAAACGAGCUUUAACGUUCGCAUAAGCAUUCGUAAUUUCAUACCAGGGCCAGGCUUGCAGUUUUAUUCAUAGUGCUAAACGUAGGUACUUGUAACAGCGGAUAUUACUCUCGGUUCAGUAAGGUUGUCGCAGCAGCUUGUGCUGCUAGACUGCUAUGACAGAGGAAGGGGUCCAUCAAGGCCGUCCGAUCCCUCCAUUGUAUGGGGAAGGGGAUCCGCGGGAGGGACGGCCGGGGUAUCGCCCCGUAGGCCUAGGGCACGGACGUCCUCCCAUGCACGCAGGACGGUUUGGGUUCAGAGAACCACCUGGAAGGAAAACAAGCAUCCAUGGCUUUUAAUACUGAAUUUCAGAACGCAGGAAUAAGAAUCUUCUUUCAAGGAGAAGACGAAGAUUGACGAAGAGGACGAAAUAAACAGUUUGGAAGCGCUAACCGCUGAUGCUGCCGGCUCCGUGGCAGACGGAGCUGCUCAUGAUCACGGCGGAGAUGACGAAAAGCGCGAUCACCAUGAAGCGUGCAGCUCUCGCGAAGAACGCCAUCGUAAUGUGGUAGGCUGCUUACUAUGUUGCGAGUUGUGAGUUGUGAGUAGCUGGAGACUAGGAGCUGUGUGUGUAUAUCCUGCUGCUCGCGGAAGGCCCGUAUUUGUAGAUGCCGACCCCCAUGGAAAUGAAAAAGAUCGCUUUGGCCCCC